AUUGAACGCUGGCGGCAUGCCUUACACAUGCAAGUCGAACGGUAGGGGGAGCAAUCCCCUGAGAGUGGCGAACGGGUGAGUAAAGCAUCGGAACGUGCCCAGUUGUGGGGGAUAACUACUCGAAAGAGUGGCUAAUACCGCAUACGACCUGAGGGUGAAAGCGGGGGACCGAAAGGCCUCGCGCAGUUGGAGCGGCCGAUGGCAGAUUAGCUAGUUGGGGGGGUAAAGGCCCACCAAGGGGACGAUCUGUAGCUGGUCUGAGAGGACGACCAGCCACACUGGGACUGAGACACGGCCCAGACUCCUACGGGAGGCAGCAGUGGGGAAUUUUGGACAAUGGGCGCAAGCCUGAUCCAGCCAUGCCGCGUGCAGGAAGAAGGCCUUCGGGUUGUAAACUGCUUUUGUCAGGGAAGAAAUCCCUUGGGUUAAUACCUCGGGGGGAUGACGGUACCUGAAGAAUAAGCACCGGCUAACUACGUGCCAGCCGCCGCGGUAAGAC
rnacentral:rRNA from 1 species